rnacentral:rRNA from 1 species
CUCAAAUUCAGGUAGA